AAAAGUCGUAACAAGGUCUCCGUUGGUGAACCAGCGGAGGGAUCAUUACUGAGUACUACACUCUCUACCCUUUGUGAACUAUUAUACCUGUUGCUUCGGCGGCGCCCGCAAGGGUGCCCGCCGGUCUCAUCAGAAUCUCUGUUUUCUAACCCAACUAUUCUUCUGAGUGUUCUUAGCGAACUGUCAAAACUUUUAACAACGGAUCUCUUGGCUCCCGCAUCGAUGAAAAACGCAGCGAAACGCGAUAUGUAAUGUGAAUUGCAAAAUUCAGUGAAUCAUCAAAUCUUUGAACGCACAUGGCGCCCUCCAGUAUCCUGGGAGGCAUGCCUGUCCGAGCGUCUUUUCAACCCUCGAGCCCCUGUGGCCCGGCGUUGGGGAUCUGCCACGGCAGGCCCCUAAAACCAGUGGCGGACCCGAAGGGCCCUCUCCUUUGCGCAGUAGCAUUCGCCUCGCAUUGGGAGUCCUCGGCGUCCUGCCUCUAAACCCCCCACAAGUCCGCUUCGGCGGCACCAAGGUUGACCUCGGAUCAGGUAGGAAUACCCGCUGAACUUAAGCAUAUCAAUAA
rnacentral:rRNA from 1 species